GACGAACGCUGGCGGCGUGCUUAACACAUGCAAGUCGAACGGAAAGGCCCUGCUUUUGUUGCGUGCUCGAGUGGCGAACGGGUAGGUAACACGUGAGUAACCUGCCCUUGUCUUUGGGAUAACUUCAGGAAACUGGGGCUAAUACCGGAUAGGAGCUCCUGCUGCAUGGUGGGGGUUGGAAAGUUUCGGCGGUUGGGGUUGGGCUCGCGGCUUAUCAUCUUUUUGGUGGGGUAGUGGCUUACCAAGGCUUUGACGGGUUGCCGGCAUGCGAGUGUGACCGGCCACAUUGGGACUGAGAGAACGCCCAGAAUCCUACGGGAGGCAGCAGUGGGGAAUAUUGCACAAUGGGCGGAAGCCUGAUGCAGCAACGCCGCGUGCGGGAUGACGGCCUUCGGGUUGUAAACCGCUUUCGCCUGUGACGAAGCGUGAGUGACGGUAAUGGGUAAAGAAGCACCGGCUAACUACGUG
rnacentral:rRNA from 1 species